UCCGGUUUGUCACCGGCAGUCUCAUUAGAGUGCUCAACUGAAUGUAGCAACUAAUGACAAGGGUUGCGCUCGUUGCGGGACUUAACCCAACAUCUCACGACACGAGCUGACGACAGCCAUGCAGCACCUGUGUUACAGUUCUCUUGCGAGCACCGCCAAAUCUCUUCGGCAUUCUGUACAUGUCAAGGGUAGGUAAGGUUUUUCGCGUUGCAUCGAAUUAAUCCACAUCAUCCACCGCUUGUGCGGGUCCCCGUCAAUUCCUUUGAGUUUUAAUCUUGCGACCGUACUCCCCAGGCGGUCUACUUCACGCGUUAGCUGCGUUACUAAGUCAAUUAAGACCCAACAACUAGUAGACAUCGUUUAGGGCGUGGACUAC
rnacentral:misc_RNA from 1 species